rnacentral:tRNA from 1 species
GCCCUGGUGGUUGAAUGGUUAAGCAAUUGGCUGCUAACCAAAAGGUUGGUGGUUGGAACCCACCCCGUGACU